AUAAUUUCUUCUUUAUUGCUAAUUACAAAAUCUCUGUUCUUAUCAGCUUAAUAUCUGAUAUGUUAGGCAAUGCCUAACUCAUAUAUUAAACUGAUUUUUGGACUUCGGCCAUGGGAUUGAAGCUUGCUUCGCCCUGGCCACGGGUUGCCUCGGUAUUGCACUAUAUCCGAGUACUGCCCCUUCCCC
rnacentral:snRNA from 1 species